rnacentral:rRNA from 1 species
CCACGGGUGGCUGCAGUGAGGAAUAUUGGUCAACGGGCGCGAGCCUGAACCAGCCAAGUAGCGUGAAGGAUGACUGCCCUACGGGUUGUACACUUCUUUUAUCAAGGAAUAAAGUGAGGCACGUGUGCCUUUUUGUAUGUACUUUAUUAAUCAGGAUCGGCUAACUCCGUGCCAGCAGCCGCGGUAAUACGGAGGAUCCGAGCGUUAUCCGGAUUUAUUGGGUUUAAAGGGAGCGUAGAUGGGUUGUUAAGUCAGUUGUGAAAGUUUGCGGCUCAACCGUAAAAUUGCAAUUGAUACUGGCAGUCUUGAGUACAGGUGAGGUAGGCGGAAUUCGUGGUGUAGCGGUGAAAUGCUUAGAUAUCACGAAGAACUCCGAUUGCGAAGGCAGCUUACUAAACUGCCACUGACAUUGAUGCUCGAAAGUGUGGGUAUCAAACAGGAUUAGAUACCCUUGUAGUC